rnacentral:piRNA from 1 species
AGGCCAUGGAGGAGCGGGCACAGCUGAAA